AUGUUUAACACAAUCAUUGAAAGCCUGAAUCUGCGUGAGAUAGAGCUUUCGGGAAGGAAGUUUACCUGGGCUAACGCCUUGCCAAAUCUGACGUUCGAAAAGCUGGAUCGGGUUCUGGCUAGCGUCGAAUGGGAACAUAAAUUCCCAUGUGUAACAGUCCAGGCACUUUCUCGUGGUAUUUCUGAUCACACGCUGUUAUUCCUUGACUCUCGGGAGGCCACCCAUGUGGGCAAUAAGAAUGUUUUCUCUUUCAAGCUUGCGUGGUUUGAGAGAGAAGGUUUCUUAGAUCUCGUAGCCAGAGAAUAG
rnacentral:rRNA from 1 species